AUUGAACGCUGGCGGCAGGCUUAACACAUGCAAGUCGAGCGGAGAUGAGGUGCUUGCACCUUAUCUUAGCGGCGGACGGGUGAGUAAUGCUUAGGAAUCUGCCUAUUAGUGGGGGACAACAUUCCGAAAGGAAUGCUAAUACCGCAUACGUCCUACGGGAGAAAGCAGGGGAUCUUCGGACCUUGCGCUAAUAGAUGAGCCUAAGUCGGAUUAGCUAGUUGGUGGGGUAAAGGCCUACCAAGGCGACGAUCUGUAGCGGGUCUGAGAGGAGGAUCCGCCACACUGGGACUGAGACACGGGCCAGACUCCUACGGGAGGCAGUAGUGGGGAAUAUUGGACAAUGGGGGGAACCCUGAUCCAGCCAUGCCGCGUGUGUGAAGAAGGCGUUAUGGUUGUAACGCACUUUAAGCGAGGAGGAGGCUACUGAGACUAAUACUCUUGGAUAGUGGACGUUACUCGCAGAAUAAGCACCGGCUAACUCUGUGCCAGCCGCCGCCGUAA
rnacentral:rRNA from 1 species